UACACCCACCAUUGAGAGACAGAUGCCGUGAGGUGGUUACCGGCGGUCACACAUGUCGUCGCCCUAGGUAUACAAAGAGCCGUAGAAAAGGUAACUCCGGGGAAGUUCCGCCGACUGUGUUGGCGAUUCAACCCUUUCAAUCGAAAGCCUAGAUCACUGCGAAGCUCAUGGUGACGAACGUUUAUCUGAUUACAAGGCGGUGGUGGUUCAAUUGAGACCUCAGAUAGUCGGCGGCUAGGGGUCAUGACUCGAAGGUGAUGAUGGAGACGAUGUAGGUUAAGUUUCAGGCGAUCAAUGGUGUCAAACGAUGGUCGUUCAGAACAAAUGGAUGGUCGGCGACGGUCAAAACAACGGAACACAAUGACGAUUAGGAAGGCGAUAUGUUUGCAAACACCAAAAAUCCUAAAUGAAAGGGGGAGAAGAGAUCGAGGUGGUUGUCACGUUGCCAGAAGAACGAUGAGGAAGACGAUGGCAUUUGCAGCCAAUGAGUUCAUCUAGGGAUCCGACGAAGUUCUGGUCAAGCCCCGGGUUUUAAUUCUGAGUAUGUUGGUGUCUCUGAAAAGUUUCAUGUUCUCUGCUUGCCACGCAUGUCCUCUGCUCCGUCCUCCAAAUCUCCACAUCCUACCUCCACUGCCACUUUGGUUGGUUUAGGUGGUGCACAACUGAUUCCACUUACUUCUUCAUUUUGUUUCGCCAUCACAGAGAUCGACCGGUUGUGACGGCUUCACACAUCAGUCCACACUGAAUGAUAGCGGCUAGGAGGUGUUCCGGUUACCGGAACGUCUACGGGAGGCGGAGGUGUUCCGGCAGAGGGGAUUUCGUUCAACACGGUGACGAUGACAGCGAGAUUUAGGAUUCCGACAACCCCUUGAUACUCUGAUGAAAAGCUCCAGCCUUGAAUGUCACUUUUUCAGUUAGAACGGAGUCAACCUGAGAUCCGGCUUGAAUGUCACUUUUCCAGUUAGUGAGCCUGGGUUUCGACUUUAGGUGACGGUCACCCUUUCGACGAAGAACCAGCGAAGUUUAGGUAAGCACUUUUUACCUGCAAAAUGUGAUGAUAAUGAAGAUGGUCGAUUCCUGGUUUAAUUUUUCUUUCGUUAAGCAUCCGAAACGUAUUCUUUGAAAUCUUUGCUUCAAAAUUGGAAUAUUCUUGAUACAAGUUGAUUUAGAUCUCAAACUUGGAAUUUAUUGUGAGUUAGAUGAAAUUUAUU